CCCGGCGACCGGCGCACGGGUGAGUAACACGUAUGGAACCUGCCCGCAGCAGGGGGAUAAGCGGAAGAAAUUCCGUCUAAUACCGCGUAACACCGCAGAGGGGCAUCCCUCGGCGGUUAAAGAUUCAUCGGCUGCGGAUGGCCAUGCGGCGCAUUAGCUAGUCGGCGGGGUAACGGUCCACCGAGGCGACGAUGCGUAGGGGUUCUGAGAGGAAGGUCCCCCACACUGGUACUGAGACACGGACCAGACUCCUACGGAAGGCAGCAG
rnacentral:rRNA from 1 species